rnacentral:rRNA from 1 species
CGGACGGGUGAGUAAUGUCUGGGAAACUGCCUGAUGGAGGGGGAUAACUGCUGGAAACGGUAGCUAAUACCGCAUAACGUCGCAAGACCAAAGAGGGGGACCUUCGGGCCUCUUGCCAUCGGAUGUGCCCAGAUGGGAUUAGCUAGUAGGUGGGGUAACGGCUCACCUAGGCGACGAUCCCUAGCUGGUCUGAGAGGAUGGCCAGCCACACUGGAACCGAGACACGGUCCAG